GUAUAGCAAUAGCUAAUUGCACCAACAAAUAGUUGAUGCAAUAUCGACUCUGUCGAAUAAAAUUCUAGGUAGAAUUAUGAUAAUGACAUUGUCUGCCUAUGUGUCUUGACCAAAUUACGUGCCAGCAGUCGCGGUAAUACGUAGAAGACUAGUGUUAUUCAUCUUUAAUAGGUUUAAAGGGUACCUAGACGGUAAAUCAAGCCUUCAAGGGGACUAAUUUACUAGAGUUACUUGUGAGGGGGUAUUAAAGUACUAAUGGUGUAGAGAUGAAAUUCUGUCAUACCUCUUUUCGUAAGAAAGAUUACGGCACAGGUAUAGGCGAAAGCAUCCCCUUAUGUGAUAACUGACGUUGAAGGACGAAGGCUUUGUGUCGCGAACAGGAUUAGAUACCCCAGUAGUCAAAGCAGAAAAUGAUGAAUGUCAUAGAUUAGACAUUAGUUUAUUCUAUAAAUGAAAGUGUAAGCAUUCCACCUCAAGAGUAAUUUGGCAACAUUGGAACUGAAAUCAUUAGACCGUUUCUGAAACCAGUAGUGAAGUAUGUUGUUUAAUUUGUUAGCUCUCAAAAAACCUUACCACAAUUUGAAUAUUUAUAUCUCUUUACAAGCGUUGCACGGCUGUCUUCAGUUAAUGUCGUGAGACUCUGGUUAGUUCCAUUAAAUUAACGUAAACCCUUACUUUAUUUUUAUAUAAAGUAGUUCCCCACUAGAUUGGAUAAGAUAACAGGG
rnacentral:rRNA from 1 species